rnacentral:rRNA from 1 species
GACGAACGCUGGCGGCGUGCUUAACACAUGCAAGUCGAACGGAAAGGCCCUGCUUGCAGGGUACUCGAGUGGCGAACGGGUGAGUAACACGUGGGUGAUCUGCCCUGCACUUCGGGAUAAGCCUGGGAAACUGGGUCUAAUACCGGAUAGGAGCCAUUUUUAGGGUGAUGGUUGGAAAGUUUUUUCCGGUUGGGGUGGGUUCGCGGGCUAUCAGCUUGUUGGUGGGGUAAUGGCCUACCAAGGCGGCGGCGGGUAGCCGGCCUGGGGGGGUGGACGGCCACCUUGGGGCUGAGGUACGGCCCAGGCUCCUACGGGAGGCAGCAGUGGGGAAUAUUGACCCAUGGGCGCAAGGCUGAUGCAGCGACGCCGCGUGGGGGAUUACGGCCUUCGGGUUGUAAACUCCUUUCGCUAGGGACGGAGCUUUUUGUGACGGUACCUAGAUAAGAAGCACCGGCUAACUACGUG